GAUGAAGAACGCAGCGAAAUGCGAUACUUGGUGUGAAUUGCAGAAUCCCGUGAACCAUCGAGUCUUUGAACGCAAGUUGCGCCCGAAGCCAUUAGGCCGAGGGCACGCCUGCCUGGGCGUCACACGUCGUUGCCCCCCCAUCUACUCCUUCGGGAUUGCGGGGGGCGGAUGAUGGCCUCCCGUGCGCCUCGCCGCGCGGUUGGCAUAAAUGCCAAGUCCUCGGCGACGCACGCCACGACAAUCGGUGGUUGCGAAACCUCGGUUGCCGUCGUGUGCGGUCGUCGCGCAUCGAGGGCUCGAAAAAAUUGCCGGGUUCCGGCUCGGCUUUCAACGCGACCCCAGGUCAGGCGGGGUUACCCGCUGAAUUUAAGCAUAUCAAUAAGCGGAGGA
rnacentral:misc_RNA from 1 species